GCCAUGUAGCACUUCUAUCAAGCCAACAAAAACAGACCGCUUGAAAAUCUCAAAGCCAAAGUUGCGGCUUUGUGGACAGAUACGGUGGUUACAU